UCAACCAAAACAAGAAGUCCAGCUCCAAGGCUACAAACAGUGAUUUAGUGGAAGGUCUUAAUCAAGUAAAUAUGUAUGACUGUGUGUGCUUGUCUCUGUAGCUUCUUUUUCCUUUUUUUUUUUGUUUCACUCCUUUACUUGACUGAUGCAAUUUACUGAUUGAUAUGUUGGGAACAACAUUCAACUGUCAUUUGAACAUGUGAUGUUUCAUGCUUGUUAUUCUCUCGUCAUAAAAGACUAUAAUCAAUCACCCCAGAUGAUAUGGGGAGAAGAUAAAUUUGAUCUGUGACAUAUUGCUAACAUCAUUUUCAGAUUCCAGAGGCCACAUUCUUCUCAUCUUCUUCCGUGCUUUAGGAUUUAUGAGAUCUCUUCUGAUGGGUCCCUUGAAAGAAUAAUAAUUGAUGAGAGCACCUUUGUUUGUGUGACUUUUGAUUCACUGGACCUUCUGCUACUGACCUAAAAAUACCAGGGGGCCGGUUGGCAUCAUCCCAGAAUCUCCUUUACUUGCUAUGGAAUAUAUUAAAGCAAGAAAGGAGGUUCAAGUACAGCAGCUGGAUAAAGAGAAAGGUACUUCAAUAACUCUUCUUUCUUUCCUUGUUUUUCAAACAUUCGGGCCACAUAUCAUAAAAACCUGUCUGAUAAAUUUUUAUUCCUUUCUUUUGAAUAUGAACUAUGAGCUUGCCACUGAGGAAUUAUAGUUCCAGAGGGAAGAAGCUGAUGCUUGCUUAGGAAGAACCCUUCUUUGGUGUGAAGAUGGACCCCACCACUUGUUGGUCCACCAUGUUGAUUUCAUUGUUAAAUUUCUUUUGUUGAGCAGAAGGAUGACGGUAACAAUCUGAUCAGUGGACGUUCCACUCUAUGCUUACUGAUUUGUAUCCAACUAACUGCAUAUUAAAAUUGUAGUGAGUCAACUGCUUGGGAUCUUUUCAUUGGUAAAGUCGUGUAUUCAAGCAAAUCCUGGAGAAAACGUUGGACAUAUCCUCUUACUUCUUUAAUUAAUUGAAGCAGCCUUAUUGCUUUUCUA